UAGAUAAAAUUAGUGCAAUAUGAUAAACUUUUAGCAAGUGUACUAAAAAUGCAUCAAAAUAAUAAAAUUUAUAAGAUUCGUCUUCACAGGGAUUGUUUCAAUUUCUACUCGACAAUAAUGUUAUCAUUAAGGAUGUAUUAAAAUGGGGGUUGUCCUAGGCAGUUGGUUUGAUUGCAUAAAAAGUAAAUUAUAAAUGACUGAAGAAUAAAAUCGGUUUUGAAAUAUGUUUAGAGAAAGGAUUAAGUCUUUUGAUUCAUCUGUCCAUCUCACAUUGGUAAUCUGCAUUUAAAUCAUAUGAUUGCUAUUCAGUUUACGACAAUUAACAAAAUAGUUCAGGUCAAUCCCUCGAGUCAGAGCCAUCUUUUCUAAUUAUAAUUCCCUAAUUCCUUAGGUGAACCUAUAAUCAUCAAUGGUUUUAAAUCAGUUAAUUUUAGAAUUACAACCUAACAACUUUUCAUCCCUAGAUUGUUCGUUAAAUUGAACAGCAUAAAUAUGUCUGAAUUAUACGCUGGAGUCAUCAGUCAUAUAAUCUCUAAGAUCAAUUAUAUUGGAUCAGAAUCAUAAAAGCAUUACGCACAAUUUAUACUGAAUAACCUAGAAUAACAUUCAUGAUAAUUCAGAGUUAUAGAUUACAUAAUCAUGAGCUAGAAUAAAAUCAUGUAUGACCUAAUCAAUGAAAAUUAGCCACUCAUGAUAAAAGAAUUUAAACAACAAGGUUAAAAGAAAUUACAAAGAGAGAUGUUUUACUCAUCAAAUUUCUUCAAUCCGUGAUGCUACUCAUCUAUAUGUGUGCGUGCGUUUUUGCUUCUGGCUUUCCUUCCAUACCAUACUCUCUCUCUAAAAAAAAUGUGAAUCCAAGACCUAGCUCCUGCUGUGCCAAAUUGUCAAUCCAGGCUGUUGCGUAACGCCCCCCUUUUUAUAUGGCUCUCUGACACUUAUAUUUGCUUUCACAUAUUAACCUUGUAAAUUCUCUCGGGUCCACCACUUAUGCAUGAUAGCCCACAAUACACCAAAUAAUCUUGCCGCUAUUUUUCUACCUGUCGCGUCAUUUUUUGGAGAUCACCAAAUAUAUAGAUCAUUGAUUAGCUUUUGACUCACUAAUUUAUUUCACGACUGAACAUUUAAUUUUAUUAUGAAAAGGGGAAAAAGUUCAAACUACCCCAUUUUGAAGAGAUUUAGGGUUCGGGGGUUAGUUACAUAAAGGGAAGGUAUUAGCACCCUUUAUGUCCGUAGUACUCUACGGGAACCUCUUGAUUUUAUUUAAGUUAAUGUGCUAUAACUUGCUUGCUUGAAAAGAAGUUAAUGUGAUGAUUAAAAAGAAAAAGAAAGUGAGACCUAAUUUAUCUACAUUUUUUAUUGUUUGGAAGGACAUGGUCCUCUGCCUACGUACCCGUGAGGGAUCAAAACCUCGUAGUUCGGGAUAGAAAUACCGUUUGAUUCGUUUUGUAUUUUUUAUUAGUUUUGAAAAAGGUUUUAAAAUGAAAAGCCAGGUGGCGAAUAAGAAUUUGUUUGUAUUUUUCAUGUUAAAAGAAAAUGACUUAAAGUGGAAUUAAUGUUGAUUGCAAUUUUGAUUUAUGAAAGAAAUAAAAUAAAAAGACGAUCACUUGAUUUAGGAUCAAGGUUUGCUUAUGAAAAACGUUUUAUUUUUUAUUUUUUUGUUAUUUGCAUGUUUUUUGUUGUUUUUUGAAUAAUAGCUAAAAUUAAACUAACGGAACAUAAAAAUGUAAAGUAAGUACCCUAAACUAGAAGCAUAAAAAUAAACAUACACACACGCACACAUGCACCUAAAGCUAUUAGGUAAAACCUAUUAUACAUUCUAAGGUCUGCAGAAAAUAAAUGACAAGAAAAUAAAUAAUUUAUUUACAUCAAAGCCUAAUUUACAUUCUAACAUCCAUGCUCUAAAAAUAAAAUAAGUGACAUAAAUAAAUAAAUAUGCAUGAAAGAAUAGAAAAUAAAUAAAAAUAAAAUGCGAAAUAAAGAAAUAAAAAUAGGUUCAAUCACAAGGCGGGGGUUGUGGUGCCGGUAUUAUGGGGGGUGUGGGUUCUUGUUUUCUUUCUUCUACCUCUUCAACCACGUCCUCACAACUUAAUUUCCUGUUAAGAGAUGACAACUUUAAACAAAGAAAAACAAACGCAGCAAAUUAAUUACCCAGCAACUGAAAAAAUUGGCACGACAGUGUUAGAACUUCUGUGAGAAAAUGGAAACUUUAAAAAGAAGAAAGAAGCCACGGCAAUAUGAGUUCAAACAAUUGGAAACGUAGCAAUAAUGAAACAAAAGGAUCAUCAAUCAAUCAAAACAUAGCAGCAGCAACUGAGAAAUCAAUAUAAGUAUGUACGGCUGAAUUGAAAAUUGCAUGAAAACUAAGGUUUUGGAAUAUAUGUGUAGUAAUAGCAACCGGCAAAGAAAGUGAAUUAGAAUAGCACAUGACAGUAGCAAUAUGAAAUAAAGACAUGAAAUUUUAACGUAAAACACUAAAAUAAGAAACAUAUAAUAAUAUAAUUGCAAAGGGAAUUAGAAUGAAAAGCAAUAACAAAGUAAUGGACAUGGAAUUGAAUUGUUUCAGCAAAGGGAAUUAGAAUGAAAAGCAAUAACAAAGCAUGUUUCAGUUAUGAAAGUAUUAAAAUUAUGCGGUGGCUAACAUGGAUUCAAAAAUGGAAUGAGGGUGUAACUAUCUCUAAGCUACGGCAGCUUGGGUUUUGAUUUUUUUGGAAUAUUUGUGCGUGUGAAGAUUGUGUUGUGUUAGGUCAAAUCGUGUGUGUCAAUUGUGUUGUUGCAGCUUGCUUUUAUAGAAAGGGGACCAGCACUAGGGUUUGUUGAAAGUUGCUGAAAAUUUGUGACUUGGGGAGGAGAAUAAGCAUUGUUAUUGCUGGAUUGAUAAGGCUGGGAAUUGGAUUGGGAUGGAGAAAGAAAGAAAACGUGUACUGUGUUGUUUUUGGAUGAGGAUCACUUUUUUUGGAUUUUAACAAAUAAUAAUAAUGAAGAAUGCAAAAAUAAAAAAAAGAUUAUGCAGACUUUGAACUUCUUGGACUUAUCUAAACAAAAAUUAAAUAAUUAACUAAAUAGAUAAAGACUAAACAAAAUAAAAAAUAAAAAAUAAAUGAUUUAAAAAAGAAUAAAAAUAUGGAAAUUUUAACUAAAAAUAAAAAAAAAAAGAUAUAAAAUUAAAGAGAGAAGAGG
rnacentral:lncRNA from 1 species